GACGAACGCUGGCGGCGUGCCUAAUACAUGCAAGUCGAGCGAAGCGACGGAUGGGUGAGUAACGCGUGGGUAACCCGCCCUUAAGUCUGGCCUCCCUUUUGGAAACAGCUGCUACUACCGGAUAUUGAUGGAUGGACCUGCGAUGCAUUAGCUAGUUGGUAAGGUAACGGCUUACCAAGGCGAUGAUGCAUAUCCGAGUUGAGAGACUGAUCGGCCACACUGGGACUGAGACACGGCCCAGACUCCUACGGGAGGCAGCAGUAGGGAAUCUUCCACAAUGGACGAAAGUCUGAUGGAGCAACGCCGCGUGAGUGAAGAAGGUUUUCGGAUCGUAAAGCUCUGUGGUUGGUGAAGCGGUAAACAACCAGAAAGUCACGGCUAACUACGUGCCAGCAGCCGCGGUAAUAC
rnacentral:rRNA from 1 species